rnacentral:lncRNA from 1 species
UGGGAGAUUCAUGGCCCUUUCUCAACUCUCCUGACUAUUGUCACUCACAAUGCGAACUCAAGAAGCUUCAGCUCCUAAGAAAAGUCCAAGACCAUGCUCAAGUUUUUGUAAAACUAAUUCAUUUGUACAAUUCUCAGUUCACUUAUUUCAGUGUAACUUGAUAAUCAAAUAAUCUAAGGACUUCAUUCACAUCCAAGUGCAGGGC